rnacentral:lncRNA from 10 species
GUGAUUGAGUCAGGAGGGUAGAGGUUGUAGUGAGCUGUGAUCGCACCAUUGCACUCCAGCUUGGAUGAUAGAGUAAGAUCCUCCCCCACCACCCCUACACCCCACAAAAAAAGCCCACUGAGCUGGGCAAUUCUGCUACCUCCACUAGAGAAACAACUACGUGGUUAUAAUUCACUGAAGAACAGACUGAGGUUGAACUUGAAUAACUUGCACAAGGUCACAGUCAGUAUACUAAACCCACACUUGAUCGGCCCCAAGACCAUGAACUCUACACAGUCAGAGAAACAGUAAAGGGCCCUGGACUCAAACUCCCUCUGUGCAAGUCCUGGCUGUGUUUCUUGCUACCGGCGUAAUGUGCUAUUUAAGCAGCAGUGCAUGUCUCCUCACAUUUGAAAAUAUUGAUUGGGUCUUGAAGACAGAAUAACAAGCGCCAGAACUCAAGCAUUUUGCCAGGAGUGGUGCUGCCUCAUCAGUACUUCAGAUCCAGGCAGGGAAACUGUCAGCAGAACUGCUCCAAAGUCUGCUUUGUGAAAUGCACAUAAGCGGUCUCCCAGACCCACUUUCCAUCCUUCUCCUUUCUGAGGAGGAGGUGGUUAGAAAAAAAAGAAGAAGACAACAAAAGAGUAGAUGAGAGAGAUGUGGCAAAAGAAGAGGCAGAAGAGAAGAGGCAAGAGAAGGAUUCUCCCACCCAUUGCUGUCUUUAGAGAUGCAGGCUAUGAGCCAAAAAGCACAGAUAGCUCCGGAAGCUGAGGACAAGCCACACUGCCCACACUCCCGCAACUGCCCAGAACUGAAUUUUGCCAAUUACCUGCAUAAAUCAGAAAAUGGAUGCUCACUAGAGUCUCCAGAAGGGAGCCUGGCUUGCUGACACCUAGAUUUUUGUCUUGUGAGACUGAUCAGAGGAAUUAUCCCAGCACACUUGACUUCUGAAAUUGUGAUAUAUCUAUGCCUGCAGAAACCCAUGACAUGCAGAAACUAUGAGUUAAUAAAUGAAUGUUGUUUUAAGCCAUCA